rnacentral:rRNA from 1 species
ACAUGCCUACACCAUAGCGUUAAUGCACCAAAUCCCAUUAGAACUCUACAGUUAAGCGCGCUUGGGCUAGAGUAGUAUUGGGAUGGGUGAUUGCCUGAGAAGUCCUAGUAUUUUACAUGCC